UAGUCGAGGAGCAGUUAAAAAUUAUUUCACCAAGCUGUACGUCAGUAAUGAUCCCAGUACAGACUGCAAUCCCUUCCAGACCUCGUGAGUUAAAACCUGCAGCUUUUCCUUCGACGCUUUGCCUGUUUCCUGUACUAGUUUGAUAUGCAGAUGGGGAGCGCUUUUGGUAAUCUCAUCAACUAUUUCAUUUCCCAGAAUAUGCUGCAACAGAGUUUAUAAGCAAAGGCUUUUCUGCAGUCGCCACAUUGAAUGCUUUCUUACUUCUAACAAUGGGCAAAGGUAUGUAUUUAUAUUUUUUAGGACUAAUCAUCUCAGCUGCCUUUCUAACAGCAACAUUUCUCGCCAUGUACUCGAAAGAUAGCGAACACGAGUCAACAGGUUGCGCCUAGACACCACUCGCACCCGGAUCCUUCAUCACGACAACGCCUCAAAAGGGAUCGCCAUGUUGCCGUCUUUUUCGCUCGAUAUGUCACCCAAUGACUUUUUUGUUCCCUAGAACAGUGGUCAAAGGACCCCAUUUUGAGUCGAUUGAGAAAUUCAUGCAGCCGUGAUGAGGAUUCUCGCGGAAAUCCCUGUCGAUGUGUUCCAGAAAUGUCACGGAAAACGCGCUGGUAUUGUUAUAUAGCUCACCAAGGGGACUACUUUGAAGGAGAUGGCAGGGCUGAGUUAAGAGUUCAACAAGAUAGAAAAAAAAUUACCGCCUUGUAGCGAUAUUCGCGAGAAUGAUCUUUUUUUAAUUUUCUCUGAAGAACAAAAUAUCAGCUUUCCAAUGUCAUCUAGCGCAUGCCAAUCACACUAAAAGAACACGAGUUACGGAUUACUGAAGCAAUCUAUUGCAAAAAUAAGGGAUUCCUUUUUACUAGACUAAUACCGCACGAAUUCUUUAAAUACAUUUAAAUCGUCAUAUGUUUGCUUAAUUUGUAUAUUUUUAUUUAUUAAGAAGUCUUCACACAAAAAAGUCCCCAAAAAUUCAGUUUCUAAAA